GACGUAGGGUGCAAGCGUUGUCCGGAUUUAUUGGGCGUAAAGAGCUCGUAGGCGGCUUGUUGCGUCGACUGUGAAAACCCGCGGCUUAACCGCGGGCUUGCAGUUGAUACGGGCAGGCUAGAGUUCGGUAGGGGAGACUGGAAUUCCUGGUGUAGCGGUGAAAUGCGCAGAUAUCAGGAGGAACACCGGUGGCGAAGGCGGGUCUCUGGGCCGAUACUGACGCUGAGGAGCGAAAGCGUGGGUAGCAAACAGG
rnacentral:rRNA from 1 species